AAUGCCUACGGGACGCAGCAGUGGGGAAUAUUGCGCAAUGGGGGGAACCCUGACGCAGCAACGCCGCGUGCGGGAUGAAGACCUUCGGGUUGUAAACCGCUUUCAGCAGGGAAGAGACAGACGGUACCUGCAGAAGAAGCCCCGGCUAACUACGUGCCAGCAGCCGCGGUAAUACGUAGGGGGCGAGUGUUAUCCGGAUUCAUUGGGCGUAAAGCGCGCGCAGGCGGACCGUUAAGCGGGACCUCUAAUCCUGGGGCUCAACCUCAGGCCGGGUCCCGAACUGGCGGUCUCGAGUGCGUGAGGGG
rnacentral:rRNA from 1 species